GUAAGUGAAUAAGGGCGCACGGGGGAUGCCUAGGCUCUCAGAGGCGAAGAAGGACGUGAUAAGCUGCGAAAAGCUACGGGGAUUGGCCAAUGCGAAUUGAUCCGUAGAUAUCCGAAUGGGGCAACCCAGCCCGCCUCGGCGGGCUAUUCCGCAAGGAAAGCGAACGUGGGGAACUGAAACAUCUAAGUACCCAUAGGAGGAGAAAAUAAUAAUGAUUCCGUAAGUAGUGGCGAGCGAAAGCGGAACAGCCCAAACCGCACAUGUUACGGCAUGUUCGGGGUUGUAGGACCUGUAUAAUCAAAGUCAAUCCGACGAGAAUAGCGUGGGAAAGCUAACCGAAGGGGGUGAGAGUCCCGUAUUGGAAGGACUGAUGGCGAGACGGGUAUCCUGAGUAGGUCGGGACCGGAGAAAUCCCGAUUGAAACUGCCGGCACCAUCCGGUAAGGCUAAAUACUCCUGAGAGACCGAUAGUGAACUAGUACCGUGAGGGAAAGGUGAAAAGUACUCCGAAUAGGAGGGUGAAAUAGAACCUGAAACCGUGCGCUUACAAGCGGUCGGAGCUGCGCGAUGCAGUGACGGCGUGCCUUUUGCAUAAUGAGCCUACGAGUUACUCCUCAUCGGCAAGGGUAAGGUAUUCAGUACCGUACCCGGAGCGAAAGCGAGUCUGAAAGGGCGAUUGAGUCGGUGGGGGUAGACGCGAAACCUAGUGAUCUACCCAUGGCCAGGUUGAAGUUGUGGUAACACACAAUGGAGGACCGAACCGAUAAGCGUUGAAAAGCUUCCGGAUGAGCUGUGGGUAGGGGUGAAAGGCUAAUCAAACUGGGAAAUAGCUCGUACUCCCCGAAAUGUUUUUAGGAACAGCGUCGGGAAUUGUAUGAUGGAGGUAGAGCUACCGAUAGGACUAGGGGGAGUCAAAUCCUACCAAAUCCUGACGAACUCCGAAUGCCAUCAUAUAGAACCGGCAGUGAGGGCUUGGGUGCUAAGGUCCAAGUCCGAGAGGGAAAGAACCCAGACCUUCCGCUAAGGUCCCCAAAUCUAGAUUAAGUUGAACAAAGGUGGUCCAGUUGCAGAGACAGCCAGGAGGUUAGCUUGGAAGCAGCUAUUCCGUUAAAGAGUGCGUAACAGCUCACUGGUCGAGCGACAGGGCGUCGAUAAUAAUCGGGCAUCAAAUCUAGUACCGAAGCGAAGGAUUCGACUUCAAUUUAUUGGAGCGAGUGGUAGGGGAGCAUUCCAACGACAGUGAAGGUAUGGCGUCAGCCGUGCUGGAGUUUUUGGAAAAGCAAAUGUAGGCAUAAGUAACGAUAAUGCGGGCGAGAAACCCGCACACCGUAAGACCCAGGUUUCCUGAUCAACGUUAAUCGGAUCAGGGUUAGUCGGGACCUAACGCGAACCCGAGAGGGGUAGUGGAUGGACAAUGGGUUAAUAUUCCCAUACUAUUUAUACAGGUGAUGGAGUGACGGAGUGAUGAAAGAUCCGCCCGGUGACGGAAUACCGGGUUAAAGGUAGUAGGUAUUGGCUGCAUAGUUAAAUGCGUGCGGCUAGCCGAAGCUGAUAGUACUGAGCGUUUUCGGACAAUCAGAUAGUGAUCCUAAGGGCUUCCAAGAAAAACUUCUAGCGUUAAGCGUAUAGAUACCCGUACCGCAAACCGACACAGGUGGUCGAGGAGAGUAUCCUAAGGUGCUCGAGUGAAUCAUGGCUAAGGAACUCGGCAAAAUAGCCCUGUAACUUCGGGAGAAGGGGCGCCCUCAGCAAUGAGGGCCGCAGUGAAGAGGCCCAGGCGACUGUUUAACAAAAACACAUGGCUUUGCAAAGUUUAACGACUAAGUAUAAGGCCUGACACCUGCCCGGUGCUGGAAGGUUAAGAGGGGAUGUUAUCGCAAGAGAAGCAUUGAAUCGAAGCCCCAGUAAACGGCGGCCGUAACUAUAACGGUCCUAAGGUAGCGAAAUUCCUUGUCGGGU
rnacentral:rRNA from 1 species